rnacentral:rRNA from 1 species
CCUACGGGUGGCAGCAGUGGGGAAUAUUGCACGAUGGGCGCAAGCCUGAUGCAGCCAUGCCGCGUGUGUGAAGAAGGCCUUCGGGUUGUAAAGCACUUUCAGCGGGGAGGAAGGCGGUGAGGUUAAUAACCUCAUCGAUUGACGUUACCCGCAGAAGAAGCACCGGCUAACUCCGUGCCAGCAGCCGCGGUAAUACGGAGGGUGCAAGCGUUAAUCGGAAUUACUGGGCGUAAAGCGCACGCAGGCGGUCUGUCAAGUCGGAUGUGAAAUCCCCGGGCUCAACCUGGGAACUGCAUUCGAAACUGGCAGGCUAGAGGCUUGUAGAGGGGGGUAGAAUUCCAGGUGUAGCGGUGAAAUGCGUAGAGAUCUGGAGGAAUACCGGUGGCGAAGGCGGCCCCCUGGACAAAGACUGACGCUCAGGUGCGAAAGCGUGGGGAGCAAACAGGAUUAGAUACCCCAGUAGUC